GGCUGGUCCAAAGGCAGUGAGUUAUCUCACUUGAUCACAGUCAGUUACAGAUUGAACUUUGUUCUACUCUUUCCCCCCUUCUCUCUCACUACUGCACUUGACAAGUCUUAA
ensembl:misc_RNA Y_RNA Y RNA